GAUGAACGCUGGCGGCGUGCCUAAUACAUGCAAGUCGAGCGAACAGAUGAGGAGCUUGCUCCUCUGACGUUAGCGGCGGACGGGUGAGUAACACGUGGAUAACCUACCUAUAAGACUGGGAUAACUUCGGGAAACCGGAGCUAAUACCGGAUAAUAUAUUGAACCGCAUGGUUCAAUAGUGAAAGACGGUUUUGCUGUCACUUAUAGAUGGAUCCGCGCCGCAUUAGCUAGUUGGUAAGGUAACGGCUUACCAAGGCAACGAUGCGUAGCCGACCUGAGAGGGUGAUCGGCCACACUGGAACGGAGACACGGUCCAGACUCCUACGGGAGGCAGCAGUAGGGAAUCUUCCGCAAUGGGCGAAAGCCUGACGGGGCAACGCCGCGUGAGUGAUGAAGGUCUUCGGAUCGUAAAACUCUGUUAUUAGGGAAGAACAAAUGUGUAAGUAACUAUGCACGUCUUGACGGUACCUAAUCAGAAAGCCACGGCUAACUACGUG
rnacentral:rRNA from 1 species